rnacentral:rRNA from 1 species
GACGAACCGUGCGAACGUUAUUCGGAAUCACUGGGCUUAAAGCGCGUGUAGGCGGGCCGCCACGUCGGCUGCUGAAAUCCCCCGGCUCAACCGGGGAACGGGCACCGAUACGAGCGGCCUGGAGGGGGGUAGGGGGGUCUGGAACUUCCGGUGGAGCGGUGAAAUGCGUUGAGAUCGGAAGGAACGCCCGUGGCGAAAGCGGCACGCUGGACCUCUUCUGACGCUGAGGCGCGAAAGCCAGGGGAGCGAACGGG